GCGACAGAGCGAGACUCUGUCUCAAACAAACAAACAAAAAAAGCGGGGGGGGGGGGGGGGGGGCGGGGGCGGGAAGAAAAGUCUUCCUGGUUUCAAGAAGAGGAUUUAAAUGUAGGCUUAAAGCAGGGGUUGCCCUGAGGCCCAGGAGGAGAGAGAGCUACAGGGUUCACAAACCCUGACAGACCCAGUUUCUUCCUACACUGAAAGGAAAGGGGGUUCCAGGUCUCCAGGCCUGGCCUGAGGAGGGGUCAGGUGGUAUGGAUGGAGAGGUCUGGCCAGGCAUGGUGAUGUUCAUGCCUUUAAUCCCAGCACUUAGGGAGGCAGAGGCAGGAGAAUAGCUCCAGCCCAGGAGUUUGAGACCAGCCUGAGCAACAUAGCCAGACCCCAUUCACCACAAAAAGGAAAAAAAGUUUGGACAGGGAGGUCAUAUGCACACCAGCCUUCAGCCCACGAGCCAUCCCGCGUGCAGGCAUACACAGGCACCACCAGCCACAGAAGCAUGUGCACACAGGCACCUGCUAGAUCAGAAACCAGCCUGAAGGGCCCCCAGCAACUUCCCCAAACUGGCUGCCACGCCUGCCCAGGAAGUUGCUCAGUUCCUACAUGCCACAGGGAAGGCCUGCCCACCUCCACCUCUCUUGACUCUGUCUCCUCAGGGAACAAGAGCUCCUCAUCAGCCUUUGUCAAACACUCCAUCCUCUGCUCAUAAGCAGCUGAGCAGCUGCUGCUGAGGAACCCAGUGUAACUGGGAGUAACCCGGCCUGCAGCCACCAUCCCUGGGAGCGGCUGCCUCCCAUUGGCUGGGCCUCAUGAGGCGACGUGGCAGCAGAGCCUCCCCUUCUACUGGCUGCCAGGGAGGCGGGCACAGGGCCAAGUCUCACGGGCUGGCGCCGGGGGAGCCCUGAGCAGCCUGCACAGGUAAGGCAGGCUGUCCUGCCCCCGGCCCUGAAGACUGGAUCAAAGGCUCCAACCUGGGCCUUAGCCAGGGGCUGGCAGGAUUGGGGUGGGUGGGGGGCCUCGUGGGAAAGGAAGCUGUAGUGGGGGAAGGGGUUGCGGGAAGAGCUUUGAAGGCCGGAGGCCAGGUAUGGGCGCCCCUGGGGCAGGAAGGCGCCCACUUAAGCCUGGAUGGGCUGGAGAUGAAAGGGGUAUGCCCCCCCACACCCUGAAGCAGGAUGUCCUGGAGGGAACCAGAGCCCCCGCCUGACAGCCUAUCCUGUGCGUCUCCCCUGCCGUCUGAUCCGAUCCGUGGCACCACCUCCGCCUACUUUGCCCCUGAAGCUGAGUAGCACAGGCUUUGUACCAAGGGAGAAGGUAAUUUACGUCAUCCAAGGUGCCAAAGGUUAUGGGUUUGCUACCCCAUUCCGGGUAUUACCCCAUCCCCUGCUCUGCCAGGAGCCACCCUGAAGGGGUGCCAAAUUAUUUAUCACUGUGCUGUUGGAGGGUCCCACAUGGAGGUAGAGAUGCAGCAGGCUGGGCCUGAAGUCUAAUUCCCAGCCCAGGAUUCUGCAGUUCCCCUGGUGUGGCCUGUACUAGGGACCACAUGCCAGCUCUCCUGCUGAGCUUCCCUGAAGUGGUCAUCAUAGCACUUAGUGUCCCAGACACUGCUUGGUAUUUUAGUAUCAACUUAUUUAAGUCUCAAAAUUACAUCAACCUUAUGAAGUAGAAUUAAGUCAGGCACUGUUCUAAGAACGUCAAAAAAAAAAAUUAAUCCACCACAACUCUGUGAGUGUGAGAUAGGUAUAACUAUUAUCCCCAUUUUAGAUGAAGAAACUUGAGACUCAGAGAUGUGAAGUGACUCAGCUCUAAGUAGGGAAAUUGGGAUUUCAACCCAGACAGGGGCCGGGCAUGGUGGCUCACACCUGUAAUCCUAACACUUUGGGAGGCUGAGGCGGGAGGACACCUUGAGCCCAGGAGUUCAAGGCCAGCCUAGGCAAUAUAGUGAGACGCUGUCUCUACAAAUAAUAAUUUUAAAAGAUUAGCCAGGUGUGGUGGCACGUGCCUGUAGUCGCAGCUACUCGAGAGGCUGAGGUGGGAAGAUCACUUGAGCCCAGGAGUUCUAGGCUGCAGUGAGUUAUGAUCACACCACUGCACUCCAGCCUGGGUGACAGAGCGAGACCCUGUCUCUAAAAAAAAAAAAAAGAAAGAAAGAUAGAAAGAAAGAAAGAGAAAGAAAGAUAAAAAUAAUAAAAUAAGCCCAGGCAGGCUGGCUCCAGAGUACAACUGCUUAACCACUCUUAAGUACUACCUCGGCCACUGCAGGAAGUGAUAGAGUGGGAGAAUUCAGAAUUCCAGCUUCACCAAGGGGAAUGAGUGGACCCUGGGGAGGAAUGAGGCCUGAGCUGCCCAGCCUAGCACUUUGGCUGUCCUGGAAAUGAACUGGCUGAGCAUGCCAGUGCCCGUGCUCAGGGUAGCUGAUGCCUCGGAUGGGGUUUCAACACCCUUGGGCUUUUAACUCCUUCCUUCUCCUCACCCUUCUGCCUGUGACAAGACAGAGAGAAGGACCAAGGAGCAGAUAUGCUGGAAGUCCUGCCUUGUGCCACCUCGAAGGGGCAUAUUCUACUCACCAGGGCAUAAGGCGACCCAGGCAGGUCCAGGGGGAUUUGCUGAUGCAGAGGCCCACCAGGGGGUCUGUGAUGGCAUCCCAGGCUCGGCCCACAAACAGGAUGAUGGAGGCAGAGAAAGGGCCCACCUGGAAUGAGGAGAAGCAAAAGACAACUUCCUCAUCCUUCUACUCGCCUCAACUCUCACUGAGGAGGAAAAGAUGAAAGGCCCAAGGUUCUGGCCUCCAUCCAAGAAGGUUCCACAGGAAGGACCAUCCCUCUGGCCAGCUCUACCAGAACAAACAACUCUGCUUUGACCUGUUCCUAUCCAGGAGAUCCCACCUUUUUUUUUUUUUUUUUUUUUUUUUUUUUUGAGACAGAGUCUUGCUCUGUUGCCCAGGCUGGAGUGCAGUGGUGCCAUCUCGGCUCACUGCAAGCUCCGCCUCCUGGGUUCACGCCAUUCUCCUGCCUCAGCCUCCCAAGUAGCUGGGACUACAGGCACCCACUACCACACCCAGCUAAUUUUUUGUAUUUUAAGUAGAGACGGGGUUUCACCAUGUUAGCCAGCAUGGUCUCGAUCUCCGAGAUCCCACUUUAUACAAAAGAAAGGUGUUCUCCAUUCUUAGGAACAUGGAAAAGGGGAAUCCAUACUUGUGUGAAAGUAGCCCCUAAGCCACCUCCCUCCUGGAGAUUCUAAGGAAACUUAUCAGCCCACCAUCCCUAAAGAACUCCUCCCAAGGCCUCAGGCACUGCUCCUUUCCAGGUUUCAGGGGGAGCAUGCUCCAGCAGCCGACCUGUCCCCACCCGGCACCAGCUGCCACAACCUGAAAAUCCGCUUGCUGCCAAGAGCUGCCUGAGCCCAGCCCAGGCUCCCACCCUGCCUCAGAGACAGGAUCCACCUGCCUACUCCUGGUGAGAGCUCUAGAGAGCUACGGGGGCCCGGCCCAGCUGGCUGCAGGCGCAGCUGUUCCACCUAUCCCAGAGCAUCCCUGACCACUAUAGGCAGCCAGAGCUUCAGGCGGACCCAGGAACUGUCCUACUCUCCAGCUUCCCGACCCAUCGCCCUCCACCCCUGAGCUCCUAGAGGACCUUGGAGACGGGAGGAAAGGCCUCCAGGUUCAGGCCUGAUCCCUCUCCGGGUGGGGCACUAGGGAGGUUGGGUUGCCCAGGGAAAGUAGAUAUUACUCAUACAUAGUAACAGCAUAAUUGCUCACCCAGCUCCUUCCAAAGAUCAGUUAAUAAAAUUAAAAGGAAAAGGCAGUCACCUCCCACGAAGGUAUCUAUUGCCUGAGAUCCUUUCCUAGGGGGCCGCCUCAUUUUAUUUGGUCCUUCAAUAAGUCCCCAGGGCUGGGGAUGUGGUCGAUGGUCUCGAUGCGCAAAGCACCGUUCCCGCGCGAACAUCCACAUUCAGACAAAUGCCUGAGGGACGC
rnacentral:lncRNA from 1 species